rnacentral:rRNA from 1 species
AGUGAACGCUGGCGGUAGGCCUAACACAUGCCAGUCGAACGGCAGCACAGUAAGAGCUUGCUCUUACGGGUGGCGAGUGGCGGACGGGUGAGGAAUACAUCGGAAUCUACUUUUUCGUGGGGGAUAACGUAGGGAAACUUACGCUAAUACCGCAUACGACCUACGGGUGAAAGCAGGGGAUCUUCGGACCUUGCGCGAUUGAAUGAGCCGAUGUCGGAUUAGCUAGUUGGCGGGGUAAGGGCCCACCAAGGCGACGAUCCGUAGCUGGCCUGAGAGGAUGAUCAGCCACACUGGAACUGAGACACGGUCCAGACUCCUACGGGAGGCAGCAGUGGGGAAUAUUGGACAAUGGGCGCAAGCCUGAUCCAGCCAUACCGCGUGGGUGAAGAAGGCCUUCGGGUUGUAAAGCCCUUUUGUUGGGAAAGAAAAGCAGCAGGUUAAUACCCCGCUGUUCUGACGGUACCCAAAGAAUAAGCACCGGCUAACUUCGUG